UAUUUAAGCACAAAAGGUUGGUGCUAACUCUGUCAUUGCCUAUCUCUAUAUCCCCUGCUUCUAGUGCUCUUCCUUGUCACCCAACUUGGUGUGGUGUAUGCUAUUCAUCAUCAUCAUCUAAGAUGCUGAGAAAACUCAUGAGGCUGCUACUGCUGCUGAUGUUCUUUCUGUGUUUCUCAUAUGUUCUCUCUGUCUCUGCUAUUCCUGCAACAAGAACCCAAAAUUUGAAAGGCGAAGAAGAAGAAUUUUCAGCCCUGCCUUCUUUAACUAGGUUGGAUCAUGUGGUUGGAAAUGGUGAGGUGGUGCUCGUUGACAUGAAUGAAGGAUUCAUGGAGAGGAGGGUCGAUUUGGAAACCCAAGACUAUGAAGGGACUGGUGCAAAUAAAGAUCAUGAUCCAAAAUCCCCAGGAGGGGCUUAAUUAACCUUAAUCCCAAAAACGACAAAGUGUUUUAAGUUAGUUGCACCCGAAAAUGUAAUAGAGGAUCUAUAUGUAUCUAUUUUUAUAUAUUUGGUCUUCUCUUGUAAAAUCAAAGAUACGGUUUGCUUUCCUUUACUUUAUUUAUAUAUUUCUGUUUGCUUGUUCAAAUUGUCUGGUGGUGUUGUUCAAAAGUCAUAACAUUAUAGUCUCAUAUAUAUGUAACAACUGGUAUAUUUUUCUCUCUUCCUUCACUGUCAUUUUGUUCAAUAAUAUUAAUUUAUUAUUUUUUUUC